UUUUACAUCGUUUACUUUGGG
rnacentral:miRNA from 1 species